UUAUCGGUCCUUUUAAGGUCCACUAAUAAAUGAAGUAAAACUCAUU
rfam:Beta vulgaris subsp. vulgaris contig130383.1, whole genome shotgun sequence.